rnacentral:lncRNA from 1 species
UGAAGACUGAUAUAUUCAUAACAUGUAUUAAUCAAGAGAUAAAUUCAGAUGAGUGUAAGGAUACAGUUCUUAAAGCUGAAGGCUUAGGUUGCUUAAUAGUUUAUUUUAUAUAGAUUAAAAACUUUGAAUUUUCUGUUUUUAUUUUUAACUGAUAGGCAUUUAGUGAAUGUCACUAAAAUGCAUUCUCACUCCCUCCCAAAAAGAAUUACAGUUAAAUACACUUUUCCUCUAGAUUAUUAAAUAUAUCCAUGCUAAUGUUAUUUUUAUGGUGAACCACACAUAAUACUUAUAAACAAAACAAUUUAAUGCAGUUAUUUUCCUACAGGAAAAAGAAAAAUAAUACAGAAAAGUAAGAAGGUCAGAAAGGUAGCAUAUUAACCUUGGUUCAUAAGCAUCUGCCCAUUAUUUUUUAAAG